AGAGUUUGAUCAUGGCUCACAACGUACGCUGGCGGCACGCCUAACACAUGCAAGUCGAACGCAGUAGCAAUACUGAGUGGCAAACGGGUGAGUAUAAUGUGGGAAUCUGCCUUUUGGUUCGGAAUAACACGGGGAAACUUGUGCUAAUACCGGAUAAGCCCUUACGGGGAAAGUUUUAACGCCGAAAGAUGAGCCCGCACUUGAUUAGCUAGUUGGUAAGGUAAAAGCUUACCAAGGCAACGAUCAAUAGCUGUUCUUAGAGGAAGACCAGCCACAUUGGGACUGAGACACGGCCCAGACUCCUACGGGAGGCAGCAGUGGGGAAUCUUGCACAAUGGGGGAAACCCUGAUGCAGCGAUGCCGCGUGAGUGAAGAAGGCCUUUGGGUUGUAAAACUCUUUCGUCGGGGAAGAAAAUGACUGUACCCGAAUAAGAAGGUCCGGCUAACUUCGUGCCAGCAGCCGCGGUAAUACGAAGGGACCUAGCGUAGUUCGGAAUUACUGGGCUUAAAGAGCUCGUAGGUGGUUAAAAAAGUUGAUGGUGAAAUCCCAAGGCUCAACCUUGGAACUGCCAUCAAAACUUUUUAGCUAGAGUGUGAUAGAGGUAAGUGGAAUUUCUAGUGUAGAGGUGAUAUUCGUAGAUAUUAUAAAGAACACCAAAUGCGAAGGCAACUUACUGCGUCACUACUGACACUGAGGAGC
rnacentral:rRNA from 1 species